rnacentral:rRNA from 1 species
CAAGUCGAACGCGAAAGCUCCCUUCGGGGAGCAAGUAGAGUGGCGCACGGGUGAGUAACACGUAGGUAAUCUACCUUUGGAUUGGGAAUAACCACCGGAAACGGUGGCUAAUACCGAAUAAUGCAGCGGCACCUAAUGGUGACAGUUGUUAAAGCGGGGGAUCGCAAGACCUCGCGUCUGAAGAGGAGCCUGCGGCAGAUUAGCUAGUUGGUAAGGUAACGGCUUACCAAGGCGAUGAUCUGUAGCCGGCCUGAGAGGGCGGUCGGCCACACUGACACUGACAUACGGGUCAGACUCCUACGGGAGGCAGCAGUCGGGAAUUUUGGGCAAUGGGCGAAAGCCUGACCCAGCAACGCCGCGUGAAGGAUGAAAUCCCUCGGGAUGUAAACUUCGCAAGAACGGGAAGAAUAAGUAAGGGUUAAUAUCUCUUACGAUGACGGUACUGUUUGUAAGCUCCGGCUAACUCCGUGCCAGCAGCCGCGGUAAUACGGGGGGAGCAAGCGUUGUUCGGAUUUACUGGGCGUAAAGGGCGCGUAGGCGGCCACCGCAAGUCGACUGUGAAAUCUCCGGGCUUAACCCGGAAAGGUCAGCCGAUACUGCGGGGCUAGAGUGCAGAAGGGGCAACUGGAAUUCUCGGUGUAGCGGUGAAAUGCGUAGAUAUCGAGAGGAACACCUGCGGCGAAGGCGGGUUGCUGGGCUGACACUGACGCUGAGGCGCGAAAGCUAGGGGAGCGAACGGGAUUAGAUACCCCGGUAGUCCUAGCCUUAAACGAUGAAUGCUUGGUGUCUGGGGUUUUAUA